AGUGAACGCUGGCGGCAGGCCUAAUACAUGCAAGUCGAACGGCAGCACAGCAGAGCUUGCUCUGUGGGUGGCGAGUGGCGGACGGGUGAGGAAUACAUGGGAAUCUGCCCAGUCGUGGGGGAUAACGUAGGGAAACUUACGCUAAUACCGCAUGCGCCCUUCGGGGGAAAGCCGGGGACCUUCGGGCCUGGCGCGAUUGGAUGAGCCCAUGUCGGAUUAGCUAGUUGGCGGGGUAACGGCCCACCAAGGCGACGAUCCGUAGCUGGUCUGAGAGGAUGAUCAGCCACACUGGAACUGAGACACGGUCCAGACUCCUACGGGAGGCAGCAGUAGGGAAUAUUGGACAAUGGGCGCAAGCCUGAUCCAGCCAUGCCGCGUGAGUGAAGAAGGCCUUCGGGUUGUAAAGCUCUUUUGUCCGGAAAGAAAAGCAUCCAGUUAAUACCUGGGUGUCCUGACGGUACCGGAAGAAUAAGCACCGGCUAACUUCGUGCCAGCAGCCGCAGUAAGAC
rnacentral:rRNA from 1 species